rnacentral:rRNA from 1 species
CAGAAGGCCAGCGUUGCUGGGCGGAUUAGUGGCGAACGGGUGAGUAAUACGUGAGUAACCUGCCCUUGACUCUAAGGAUAAGCCUGGGAAACUGGGUCUAAUACUGGAUACUACCUCUUGCCGCAUGGUGGGUGGUGGAAAGGGUUUUACUGGUUUUGGAUGGGCUCACGGCCUAUCAGCUUGUUGGUGGGGUAAUGGCUCACCAAGGCGACGACGGGUAGCCGGCCUGAGAGGGUGACCGGCCACACUGGGACUGAGACACGGCCCAGACUCCUACGGGAGGCAGCAGUGGGGAAUAUUGCACAAUGGGCGGAAGCCUGAUGCAGCGACGCCGCGUGAGGGAUGACGGCCUUCGGGUUNUAAAAUCCUUCUUUUCCAGGUAUGGGGAAAGAAAAGCGAGGAGUGACCGGUAACNUGCAGAAGAAAGCGCCUGNCUAACUACGUGCCAGCAGCCGCGGUAAUUACGUAGGGCCGCAAGCGUUGUCCCGGAAUUAUUGGGCGUAAAGAGCUCGUAGGCGGNUUGUCGCGUCUGCUGUGAAAGCCCGGGGCUCAACCCCGGGUCUGCAGUGGGUACGGGCAGACUAGAGUGCAGUAGGGGAGACUGGAAUUCCUGGUGUAGCGGUGAAAUGCGCAGAUAUCAGGAGGAACACCGAUGGCGAAGGCAGGUCUCUGGGCUGUUACUGACGCUGAGGAGCGAAAGCAUGGGGAGCGAACAGGAUUAGAUACCCUGGUAGUCCAUGCCGUAAACGUUGGGCACUAGGUGUGGGGGGACAUUCCACGUUUUCCGCGCCGUAGCUAACGCAUUAAGUGCCCCGCCUGGGGAGUACGGCCGCAAGGCUAAAACUCAANGGAAUUGACGGGGGCCCGCANNAGCGGNNGAGCAUGCGGAUUUAAUUUCGAUGCAACGCGGAAGANCNUUACCAAGGGCUUUGAACAUUCNCCGGGAACCGNCCCAGAGAUGGGGUUUCCCUUCGGGGCUGGUGGACAGGUGGUGCAUGGUUGUCGUCAGCUCGUGUCGUGAGAUGUUGGGUUAAGUCCCGCAACGAGCGCAACCCUCGUUCUAUGUUGCCAGCACGUGAUGGUGGGGACUCAUAGGAGACUGCCGGGGUCAACUCGGAGGAAGGUGGGGAUGACGUCAAAUCAUCAUGCCCCUUAUGUCUUGGGCUUCACGCAUGCUACAAUGGCCGGUACAAAGGGUUGCGAUACUGUGAGGUGGAGCUAAUCCCAAAAAGCCGGUCUCAGUUCGGACUGAGGUCUGCAACUCGACCUCAUGAAGUCGGAGUCGCUAGUAAUCGCAGAUCAGCAACGGUGCCGAUGGCCU